AGUUAUUUUCUUUAAUGUCUAAUUUCCCUAAAUUAAUUAUAUUUAAUUGGAUAAUGUAUCAACUUAAAAUGACAAGAAUGCCCUUACUUUGAUCUAAAUACAUUUACAACUCUCAUCUCCCUUACGCAGACUCCCCACCCUUUCCCCUGUACACAAUCUGCAUCGACAGCCACCAUCGUUACAUUGCCUUCCGUCUUCCGUCCGCGCUGCUCCAACACAUACAUGUAUACCAACAUAAGCUUCUAAUACUUACAAUUUCUUCUUUUGCUUCGAUUUCAUUUCAGAGUUGUUCUUGUAAAUCAAGCAACCGAUUGAACUUUCCUUUACACAUCCUACUAAUAUCUUCAAUACAACUACUUUUGUGGAAUUCAUGACAAUGUAGCCCGUAGACAUGUUUGGCUAAAGAUGUCUUUCCGAGCCUAUACCCGAAAUAGUAAGCAUGUCUACCAUAUGUGAUGAUCCAUCUUUCAAUCAUGAAGUUACAAAGUCAACAUCAUAGUCCAUCCCUAUAAAUAGCGGUUGAGCACUUCUUAAGGGUACAUGUAAUCUAUAGUGGAUGUCAUUCACAAUUUCUUCAAUGAACUUUGUCUCUCACCAGAAAUUUGAUUUAAUAAGAACUUCAAUACAUAAUAUAUAAACUAACAAACCAGAUUUGGAUAUUUAGUUUAUCCAGAGAUCCAAAUAAAAAAAUAUAUCAUAGUUAUUAAUUUUAAAAAGUUCUUCACAUCAAAACCAUAUUGUGCUUAUAAUUAACCAUAUGAUAGGAAUAAAGAUACUAGAAUGCUCAAAUGAAUAAGCUUAACAAGAAUAGACUUUUUCUCUUUCUCUCGCUUCAGUCCUGUGAGAGGUUAGUGGUCAUACCAUUACUCUUGUCCCUUUUAUCCUUUUUGUGUCUCCUCAUGUAAACCUUCCGUAUGUUGGUCUUCUUGGGCUUAAGGCCAAUGGGCUGAAUUAGUUCUGGACUCAUGGAUUUUUUUUUCUUAUCACCAUAUAAGUAGCUAACGUGUAAGGUUAUAAAUAUAUGUAUAAUAAGACCAAUGCUACAAAUGUAAUACAAGACUUCACUAAUGGGUCAUCUAACCUGAUAAGGAUCCUAACCGAGUACCACCCACCAUAUACUUGAGCCCAAUUUGGAUAAGGAUGACCCCAAUGAACAUAAUCCUUGGAUAGUCUAUAUAAGGAAAAGAUACAGGGAAUGGAUACGUGUAGGGUGAAGAAUGGAGAAGUUAGUUAUGCGUCAAGAAAGAGGGAGGGGAGAAUAUAACUUAGUGAUUUUGCAUGAUGUUACCUGUCUAAAAAUUUCUUUUGAGAAUUAUUGUUCAUCAACUUCAAGCUUAGGCAGGAGGUAAUCACACACUGAAUUUCCUUUCGGAUUGUUUUAAAUCGUUUUCAUUCAUUUUCUUUCGGUUAAUAAAAUAAAUCGAUCUCUCUCUUUCAAAUUUAUUUACUGUUACAAAUUUUUUGAGUUAAGAACUUCAAAUAUCAAGGUCUACCAUAACUUCACUAUGUUUCUACAAGACCAUCAAACUUAACUAUGAAUGUGGCUGCGUCUUACAAAGUGUCGGUUAUAGGAUAUCUUUUACUACUUACAUGUAAGAGAAGUUAUUUAUCAUAAAACAUACUAUGUUUCAAAGUGGUAUCGUAUAUUUGAUAAUAGAUGCCUAACAAACGAUUCCAAUUUGGUUUUUAAUAGAAGCAUAUAAAAAUAAAUGAAAUGGUUUAUCUAAAUGGACUAGCGCUUUGAUAAAAUUCAAAAUGCAUAACAUGUGUGAAAAAACUAUCAGUUGGUAAUUUCCGAUCAUACAUGGACUUUUGAUAAGCCUUAUCAUAAUGUGUUAAUAACGAACGUAUUUAUCUGUUCAUACAAGUAGGUAUUAGCAUAGAGUUCAAAGUCUUUGUUUUGUAGUCAUCUUCUUAUAUACGUGUGGUAUAUGUAGAGGAUAGGAUAUUGAGUUAGGGUAUCAGUUAGAAGGAAAGGGUUGUAUCAUUUCUUUGUUAUAACAAGUGAAUUUCCUUUAAUCUAUGUGUUGUUUUUUGCAUAAACUGGGCUCAUUAAUCGGUAUCAGAGCGUUAAAACAAGAUGGGAGAUGUUGCCACUCCAAGCACGAGUGGAACGAAAGAAGGAUUGUCUCUUUCUCUUCAUAUGCCUAUGCUAAAUUCCAAAAAUUUAACAGUAUGGUCAAUCUGAAUGAAGGUAAUCUUUAACAUGCAUCAGGUUUGGGAUACCAUUAAUCCAAGAUCGACCAAUAUUAAGAAGAAUAACAUCGCCAUUGCAGUCCUUUUCUAAGCAAUAUCCGAAGACCUCAUCUUGCAAGUUGGCGUGAUGAACACGGCAGGAGAAAUUUGGAAUGCAAUCAAGACUCGUCAUCUAGGCGCUGAUAGGGUAUGAGAAGCACGACUGUAAACUCUCGCUACCGAGUUUGAAAAUUUAAGGAUGAAGGAGACAAGUACUAUCGAUGAAUUCGCUAGCAACCUGUCAGAUAUCGCGUCAAAAUCAGUCUCUCUUGAUAAAACUAUCCCUGAAAGAAAACUAGUGAAGAAAUUCCUCACUUUCCUACCAAGAAAAUUUGUUCAUAUUAUCGCUUCAAUAGAUCAAGUUCUCGAUCUUAAGACGGUUAGAUAUGAAGAUGUGGUGGGGCGAUUGAAGGUCUAUGAAGAACGUUUUCGCGAGGACAAACCCGUUAUCGAUCAAGGAAAGUUGUUGUUCAAGAACACAACACCUAACAAUCGAAAUCAUGAAGCCAACAGAGGAGGACGCGGUGGAUGAAGAUUAGGGUGAUGACGAGGUGGAGGUCGCCAUUCGCAAAAUCAACGACGACCCACACCAAAUUCCAACGAAGAGACCGAUAAUCCAAAAUCAAAGACCAAAGACCAAAGACAUAUCAAAAGUUCAAUGCUAUAGAUGUGACAAAUUUGGUCACUUUGUGUCCUAGUGCCCAGAAUGGAAGGAAAAAACAGGAAGAGGCUAACAUAGUAGAAGUUGAUGAUCACGACCCACAACUGUUUAUGUUAAAAACAUAGUCUCAUUCUUCACCGAUGUAGUAGAAAGACGGAAUUGUAAUCUUAUUGAGAUGACACAAA